GAUGAAGAACGUAGUAAAAUGCGAUAAGUAAUGUGAAUUGCAGAAUUCAGUGAAUCAUCGAAUCUUUGAACGCACAUUGCGCCCGCCAGUAUUCUGGCGGGCAUGCCUGUUCGAGCAUCAUUUCAACCCUCAAGCACAGCUUGGUGUUGGGACUCGCGUUAAUUCGCGUUCCUCAAAUUGAUUGGCGGUCACGUCGAGCUUCCAUAGCGUAGUAGUAAAACCCUCGUUACUGGUAAUCGUCGCGGCCACGCCGUUAAACCCCAACUUCUGAAUGUUGACCUCGGAUCAGGUAGGAAUACCCGCUGAACUUAAGCAUAUCAAUAAGCGGAGGA
rnacentral:misc_RNA from 1 species